rnacentral:sRNA from 1 species
UUGCAACAGUAACAAUACUAUUGAUAAAUGCUGCUGUUUCAACGCCUUUUAAAAU